UUGGGGGUGUGUGCCCUCACUGACGAGUCCAAAAGGACGAAAGAAAUU
rnacentral:hammerhead_ribozyme from 31 species